AAUAAAUUUUGUGAUUUUUCAAUAUCAUUUACCUAGCGAUCGAAAGGGAUCAAAAUCAACAAUUUUUCAUAGUUAAUGUAUACAGUUUGUAAGUUUAACGGUGUAAAAGUAUUCAAAUUAGAUGAAAGUUUAAUAAAAAAUUAUUUAUUCUAUUUACAGCAAGAUCAAUAUCUCUGAUCGAAAUAUUUAGUACUAUAUCACCACUUUUUGUGAGAUUUUUAUUUUCAGUGUUGAUUUUAAACCCUUUUGAUCGUUAGGUAAAUGAUAUCAAAAAAUUGCAAAAUUUAUUUUUUAGAUACUUCAAAUACGUUAGAUCAAAUCUAACGGAGUCGGUCAUCGAUUUGGAAGCUCCAUCAUCGAAAACGACUUAGAAACACGGAAGCCUCCGUGCUCCUAAUAGCAUACAAGACCUACUCUCUCUCUUUUUCUCUCUCUCUCUCUAUAUAUAUAGAAAGAGAGAGAGUUGAGCUGGAAUGCUAUCGGUAGCAAACAAGCUCCGUUGCCACCCAUUUGUUUUCGAUGAUGGAACCUUUAAAUCGAUGAUCGACACCAUUGAACAUAAUUUAUACCACUUGAAACAUUUAGAAAUCAAAUUUCAUACUUUUUCGAUAUUGUUCUCUUGUCCAUCAAGUUGAUACAAAAUAAACAGCUGAAAAUGAAUAUUCUUUAAAAAAUACUGAUAAAAAUCUUGUAAUCAAGAUCGGGAGUAUAGAUCUUGUUCUAAAUAGUUUAAAGAAUUUUCUAACCAAAAUUCAAUUGAUUUGGAUAUCUUUACACCAUUAAACGAGAAAAUGCCUUAUAUCGACCAUUAAAAUUAUAAAUUUCGAAAUCCUUUGAUCAUUAGGUCAAUGAUGUCGAAAAGAUUUGAAAUUUGAUUUCUAGAUAUUUCAAGUGGUAUAGAAUAUGUUCAACGGUGUUAAUUGUCGAUUUGGAGGCUCCAUCAUCGAAAAUAAAUAAGUGGCAACAGAGUCCGUUUGCUACCAAUAGUAUUCUAGCUCAACUCUCUCUCUCUCUCUCUCUCUCUCUCUCUCGCUAUAUAUAUAUAUAUAAAUAAUAUUGUUCAGUUGAGAUACUUCUAAUAUCAUAAA
rnacentral:lncRNA from 1 species